UCAAAAACAUCUCUCCCUGAUUAAUCGGAUUGGGGGUAGGCCCUGCCCAGUGGAAGUAGUCUAAACGGAAAAUAUUUUUAAAGUAGCGUAAUAAUUCGUCCCUUAAUUAGGGUCUGUAUGAAUGGGUUGACGUGGAGAAACUGUCUUGGAAAAACAAGUUGAAAUUUUCUUUUUAGUGAAAAGCCUAAGAUUUAAUUAAAAGACGAGAAGACCCCGUCGAGCUUGAGAGAGAUAAGGAAUUUUUCUUUUAUCCAUGUUUGUUGGGGUAAUAGAGGAGAAAUCUAACCUCCACUCUUUAAACUAGAUCCACCUGUUGGUGAUAAAAAGAAAAAGUUACCGCGGGGAUAACAGCGCAAGACGGCCCCGGAGUUCUUAUCUAAGGCUGUAAGUGCGACCUCGAUGUUGGAUUAGGGCAGGCUUAAGGGUGCAGUAGCUCUUAAAGCGGGACUGUUCGUCCUUUAAACCCCUACAUGAUCUGAGUUA
rnacentral:rRNA from 1 species